UGCUCAGCAACUCCUAUCCCUACUUCCUUGUGGUACUGGCCGGGGUACGAGUAACCUUAGGGAAGAUCUGGUAACCAACCCCGGUGAGAAAUUUUGGUCGCAUGCUGACAGGGAAGG
rfam:Aedes aegypti strain Liverpool supercont1.403 genomic scaffold, whole genome shotgun sequence.